ensembl:lncRNA
CUUAUAAUUCAAUAUAAUACACAAUAAUAUAAUAGUAUAACAUAGUAAAUCUAUAGAAUGAAACACCAUAAUACAUAGUUAAACCAUAUUUAUUAUGCUGAUCCCUGAAAAUGAGAUCGAUAUUGUUGUAUUUCAGAAACAGAAACAGCUGUGCAAUUAUGGCAGGGAGCAGUGGGUGUGGCUUCUGGAGUGGCCAUGUUCCUGAUGGGAUUGACAGCUGGCUAUCUCUGCAGGAGGACCAGGAAAACCAAUUCUCUGAGACAUACAGCCAGACAGGAUGAUCACAGACAAUGUGAUUUGGUGAUGGGAGCAGUGAGCAGUGCAGGCAUGUUGGAUUCAAGGGAUGCUGGGAUCUAUUCUCUCAUCACCACUGUACCGUCCAUGUUCUUGCCCUCAGGCCCUGUUGAAGAAAAUGGAGAGUCACCUGAAAACAACAAUUCUGAUACGUACCACGUAUACAGCUCAAUCCCCGACAGACCAGCAACCUCAGCCCAGCCGGAUGGGUUGCACAGUCUUCUGCAGACACACUGACACUACACCUCUGGCUUUGUGUAGCUAUGUCUCACACAUCUCACACAAAUACCCUCUUUUUCACAUAAUGUCCUUUAUUAUCACUCUUCAAGUUACUGUAAAUAAGUCUCUUAGCAGGUAAUAUAUAUUUUACAUAUGGACACCUGGCUUAUGUUACAUGCCUGUCCAUAAUAUCUGUUACUGUGUUAGCAUUUUUAUUUUGGAGUAUUGGAGGAGUUUGGAGCAUAAUUAAAUUUUUUCCUCCUAGUAAAUGCUGUAUUUAUGUAUAUUCUGUGUGAUUCCUCCUUCCAUAACGGUUGGAUAAUAUUUCUUAAAUAAAAUGUGUUCGGAGUCAAAAUCGAUAAAUACAGACAAUUUAAAAUCACAAUAUCAUCAGUUAAUCUAUUGCAUUAUGAGGCCAUAUAGUGUUUGUUUACAUUUACGGUGUACCAACAUUGGAGUAAAACAAGCUGAUAUUUUGGGGGUUUUGAUUGGGAACGACACUUUAACUAAGCUGCUGUAGUCAUGAGGCAUUUAUAAGUUAUAUUCUUGAUGAAUCAAUGGGUAGAUAUAAUUAAUUUAUUGGCCCAAAAAUGGGCCAAGGUUUGCCAUGUCUGUCAGCGUAGUGUCCAGAGCAUGGAGGCGCUACCAGGAGACAGGCCAGUACAUCAGGAGACGUGGAGGAGGCCGUAGGAGGGCAACAACCCAGCAGCAGGACCGCUACCUCCGCCUUUGAGCAAGGAGGAGCAGGAGGAGCACUGCCAGAACCCUACAAAAUGACCUCCAGCAGGCCACAAAUGUGCAUGUGUCUGCUCAAACGGUCAGAAACAGACUCCAUGAAGGUGUUAUGAGGGCCCGACGUCCACAGGUGGGGGUUGUGCUUACAACCCAACACCGUGCAGGAUGUUUGGCAUUUGCCAGAGAACACCAAGAUUGGCAAAUUCGCCACUGGCGCCCUGUGCUCUUCACAGAUGAAAGCAGGUUCACACUGAGCACAUGUGACAGACGUGACAGUUUGGAGACGCCGUGGAGAACUUUCUGCUGCCUGCAACAUCCUCCAGCAUGACCGGUUUGGAGGUGGGUCAGUCAUGUGCUCGCCAGAGGUAGCCUGACUGCCAUUAGGUACUGAGAUGAGAUCCUCAGACCCCUUGUGAGGCCAUAUGCUGGUGCGGUUGGCCCUGGGUUCCUCCUAAUGCAAGACAAUGCUAGACCUCAUGUGGCUGGAGUGUGUCAGCAGUUCCUGCAAGAGGAAGGCAUUGAUGCUGUGGACUGUUCCCCAGACCUGAAUCCAAUUGAGCACAUCUGGGACAUCAUGUCUCGCUCCAUCCACCAACGCCACUUUGCACCACAGACUGUCCAGGAGUUGGCGGAUGCUUUAGUCCAGGUCUGGGAGCAUGCCCAUGCGUUGUAGGGAGGUCAUACAGGCACGUGGAGGCCACACACAAUACUGAGCCUCAUUUUGACUUGUUUUAAGGACAUUACAUCAAAGUUGGAUCAGCCUGUAGUGUGGUUUUCCACUUUAAUUUUGAGUGUGACUCCAAAUCCAGACCUCCAUGGGUUGAUAAAUUUGAUUUCCAUUGAUCAUUUUUGUGUGAUUUUGUUUAAUAUUUAAUAAGAUUAAUUCAUUUAAUUUCAUUCAUUCAGAUCUAAGAUGUGUUAUUUUAGUGUUCCCUUUAUUUUUUUGAGCAGUGUAUAUUUUUGUAUAAUUAGAUUGUCUUUCCUUGCACCAGGUUUGACAGUUAGCUUUAUUUUGACCACUGACACUCCAAGUAAAGGUAAGUAUGGCCACUAGAUUUUAGUUUAGUGUGUAAUAAGUUGUAAUAAGUGUUGUGUGUUACAUGUUAAUAAAGAGUAUCUCUUGCAUGUGUACAUGAACUCAAAGCUCCACAGACAUUGUUGUGAAUUCAAACAGUCAAGAAAGUAUUCCAGGUAUGUGUCCUUCUCUAGCUGCCUGCCUGUCUAUUUUACACAACUAAGACAACUGAUACGUGCAACCUCACAAUUUAAUGACACAUUUUCUGAGAUCAAAUCUUGAGAUGUGUAUUGACCCUGGGAAUACAAGCUAAUGACCUUCCCAAUGUCACCAAACAGCUUUGCAAGUAUGGCAGGCAGCAGUGGGUGUGGCUUCUGGGGUAGGUGUUCAAAUACUCUUUCCAAUUGUACAUUCAGUCAAGGUUUUAACAAUGAUAUACCACAUUAUUAAAUUGUGAACAUGAAAUCUUUCCACUGAAUCAGUUGUGUUCUACUGACUCAGAAAUAAUGAAUACCUUUCUUCUUGUGUAAUCAGAUACAGAAUGAACUUUUAUUACUUUCCAGCAGGUUUAAAUGUUACUUCUCUUUGAUCCCUGACAGCCCAGUGAGACCAACUAGUAACUAUCACUUAGUUUACUAAUUAAUUUUAUUUCACUCUAAUUCACUAAAGCUCCAACUGGUUUACUCAUAAACCUAGUCAUAGCUGUUUGUACUUUCACUCUAAAUUGUUAUACUUUUCUUAGAUAUGAAACAAAUGUAAAUGUUUAAUCUCAUAAUGUUUCUUCUCCUACGUCAGGUGUGUUGGUCAUCUUUAGUUAAAAUACACUUGACUUUUCCUACUAGCGCUAACUUUGCUGAUAACUACCUUGUUGAGGGAAAAUCUAGUUGCUACGAUUGUGAUAUGUUGUUAUCUCACCUAGCUAUCUUAAGAUGAAAUAACGGAUGUAAGUCACUCUGGAUAAGAGCCUCUGCUAAAUUACUUAAAUAUCAAAUGUUCAACUGACUAACUGUCUUUUCCCACACAUGAAAACAGAAACAUUUUCUCAGACUAAUAAUAAUGUGGUAUUCUGACACCUGUUUAACGUUUAAGUAUUUACUUUAGGAUAAAAGGCUGAUGACCUCACCUGUUGCCAUCAUGUCACCAAACAGCGGUGCAACUAUGGCAGACAGCAGUGUGUUUGGCUUCUGGAGUUUCCGUGUUCCUGAUGGGACUGACAGCUGUCUGUCUCUGCAGGAGGACCAGUGAGUACUUCUGAUUCUGCAUACCAAAUGUUUUGCAAACAUUUUCCCUUGUCAUAUUAAUUAAUGUAAAUGCUUUGACAUGGGUUAAUCGAUCCACUCCUUUUGGUGAAAUUGUAUAGGGUUGGCUAUAUUGAACAUAAUCAUUUUUUCAGAGAAAAACAGUUAUCAGAGGUAAGAAUUCCCUUGUGAAUAUGAUGCAGAUUGUAUCAACCUUUAGUUCUGUAUUGUCCAUGAUGAGAUGUUCUUACCACAACCUUCUGAUACUUUUAUGUUGUACAGACCUACAUCCAGACAGGAUGAUCAAAGCCAAUGUACAGUACCAAUCAAAAUGUAGGACACACCUACUCAUUCCAUAGUUUUUCUUUAUUUUCACUAUUUUCUACAUUGUAGAAUAAUAGUGAAGACAUCAAAACUGUGAAAUAACACAUAUGGAAUCAUGUAGUAACCAAAAAAGUGUUAAACAAAUCAACAUAUAUUUUAGAUUUGAGAUUCUACAAAGUAACCACACUGCCUUGAUGACAGCUUUGCACACUCUUGGCAUUCUCUCAACCAGCUUCAUGAGGAAUGCUUUUCCAACAGUCUUGAAGGAGUUCCUAAGAGAAGCAGGAGGGUGGACCAGAGUAAUGAAGACUUUUCGUUGACAGUUUCCUAAAUCACUGUGCAUACCUUCAAACAUACACACACGCAUGCACACACACAGACACACAAACAUUAUAUUUUAACUUUUUAAAAUGUUUUGUUUGACGUUUUAUGCAUCUUUGAGACUUCUGUGAAUUCUCUUUUGAAAUUGAGUUCAUGGUAGUGUUGCAAGGCAAGUUCAUAAUUUAAUUUACAUAGUCUACAUACAUACAUUGACUGUGCAAAAACAUUAAGAACACCCCUCCCCCAGUUUGAAGUAAGUUACUAACUAGUGUUAGGGGCAUGGACUCUACAAGGUGUUGAAAGUGUUCCACAGGGAUGCUGACUCCAAGGCUGUUGUUUCAAGUUGGAUGGAUGUCCAUUGGGUGGUGGACCAUUCUUAAUACACACGGGAAACUGUAGAACCCAGCAGCGUUAGAGUUCUUAAUACACACGGGAAACUGUUGAACCCAGCAGCGUUAGAGUUCUUAACACAAACCGGUGCGCCGUUCAAAGGCACUUAAUUAUUUUGUCGUUCCCAUUCACCCUCCUAGUGGCACACAUACAUAAUUGAUCUCUCAAUUGUCUCAAGGAUUAAAAAUACUUCUAUUUAACCUGUCUCCUCCCCUUCAUCUACAAUGCUUGAAGUGGAUUUAACAAGUGACAUCAAUAAGGGAUCAUGGCUUUCUCUGAAUGAAUUCACCUGGUCAGUCUAUGUCGUGGAAAGAGCAAGUGUUCAGUGUAUACACACACACACACACACACACACACACACACACACACACACACACUCACACACUCACACACACACACAUACUUUUGCACACAUUCACGAAAAAAGUCCUUGAUGGC